rnacentral:lncRNA from 1 species
AAAACAAAUCUAAAAAAUAAACCACAAAAAAUAUUUCUCUAUAGGGCUUUAAUAGAAUAACUGGGAGUACUGAAAGGAAGAAACAAGUUUCAAGGACUUCCAGUAUUGCACACUUAAAUGGUGGCUGAACAGCAAUGUCACAGAACUGACCACGCUGGUCAUAUUAGUGUCAGUGGAUUCCAGCUGAAAUUGCUAGAAGGAAAAGACAGACCAAUACUGCAUCUGAAACUUCUAUAAAUAAGCAUGUUGAUUUAAUAAACUGCAGGAGGUUUAUGCUCUUCA